rnacentral:rRNA from 1 species
GUGGGGAAUCUUGCGCAAUGGGCGAAAGCCUGACGCAGCAACGCCGCGUGCGGGAUGAAGGCCUUCGGGUUGUAAACCGCUUUCAGCAGGGACGAAAAUGACGGUACCUGCAGAAGAAGCUCCGGCUAACUACGUGCCAGCAGCCGCGGUAAUACGUAGGGAGCAAGCGUUGUCCGGAUUUAUUGGGCGUAAAGAGCUCGUAGGCGGUUUCGUAAGUCGAGUGUGAAAAAUCUGGGCUUAACCCAGUGGAGCACUCGAUACUGCGAUGACUUGAGUCUGGUAGAGGAGUGUGGAAUUCCUGGUGUAGCGGUGAAAUGCGCAGAUAUCAGGAGGAACACCAACGGCGAAGGCAGCACUCUGGGCCAGUACUGACGCUGAGGAGCGAAAGCGUGGGGAGCAAACAGGAUUAGAAACCCCGGUAGUCC